UACGAAGGGGGCUAGCGUUGUUCGGAAUUACUGGGCGUAAAGCGUGCGCAGGCGGCCAUCCAAGUCAGUGGUGAAAGCCCGGAGCUCAACUCCGGAACUGCCAUUGAAACUGUUCGGCUCGAGUACGAGAGAGGUGAGUGGAAUUCCCAGUGUAGAGGUGAAAUUCGUAGAUAUUGGGAAGAACACCGGUGGCGAAGGCGGCUCACUGGCUCGUAACUGACGCUCAUGCACGACAGCGUGGGGAUCAAACAGG
rnacentral:rRNA from 1 species